CAAUCGUCAGUCCUCCUCCAGUCAAACAUCAGCGAUCCCCUUAGUAAAGUAUCAGUCAAAAAUUUACGAUUUUUCCCAGCCAAUGAAACGAGCACAAACACGGAACUAUUAUCACAUGGACUCAAUACAGAAGAGGUGCUAGCUGGUGUAAGGCAACUGAUAUAACACAAGAUGGAUGCAUCAAGUGAUAAAAUCCAGAGAUAUGAAAACUUGAAGAAGGAUUUUGAAAAAGGACUUCUAUCAAAACGAGGUUUUGACAGUAAGGUUAUAGCCUUAUUGGAAGAGAAAGACCAGGCAGAAGAAUUAACUAGAGAUGAUGUAAUCAAGUUCCUUUUUGAAAAAGGAUACACUCAAAAAGAAAUGGCAGGGAUUCUACAUAUAACGGAUCGUCAGAUACGGAAACAUCUACAGAGAUUAGAGUUAAGGAGACGGAGGGAUGACCGCCCCUUUGAGGCAAUUCUUGCAGCUGUGCAGAAAGAGCUUAAAAACUGGCCAGAAACAAAAGGCAUUCGGGCAAUGCACAGACGGGUGAGAGAUGGAGUUGGAGUGAGGCCCUGUUACAGAGAGGAUGUCCAUGCUAUAAUGCGUGUAUUGGAUGCUUCUGGGUUAGAGAAGAGGCGGCCAGGGCGAUGCCAUAUUCCAAGGAGGCAGUACAAUGCCAAAGGACCAAACUAUGUUUGGCACAUCGAUGGUAAAUAUCAGAACAAAUGCACUCAUCCAAUGUGGCUGUCUUGUUCAUGUAGCUGCAAAUUGUCCAUUUCACAAUACAUUUCUUUUUUCUUAUGUAAUUACAGGCAAUGACAAGUUGAGGUUCUACGGGAUAUGGCUUCACCUUUGUAUUGAUGGGUUUGUUUAAAUAUACAGACAUAUAUUUUAAUAGGUCUGGAUGACCUGUCUUUGACUCAGCACAUUUUUAUAAGUUCAUAUAAAAAUAGUUGACUUCCAAGAUUGGUUUAUCUUGUCAAUACAUGUAAUUAUACUGUCGUUUAUUUCUUCUCUGGACUUGAAUGAAGCAUGAAGUAUUGAAAAUGUGAAAGCUUUUAGAUCUAUAAUGAUGAUUUACCAGAGACAUAUACAUUUGUUUAGGAAAAUGGCAGCAAUGAAUACUUGAUAAUCAGAUUGAGCAGUUAUCACAAAGUGCAUCGCCACCACUUUAUAAACAAGGGGUGUCAGACCAGUUCCACAGAGGGCCAAGUGUCUGCUGGUUUUUCCUAUAAAUUGGUUCCCAGUUCAGACCUAAACAACCAGGUGAGGGUAGAAACCUACAAAUUAGUGACCUAAUUAAUCAAUCUAGUACAAGGUGAGAGUGAAAACCUGCAGACACUUGGCCCUCCGCGGAACCGGUUUGACACCUGUGUUACGAACAAUUACUAUGCUUUUACAAUUUACAGAAUGCACUAAUGCAGAAUUAGCUGUAAAAUGUAUGGUUUUAUGUUGCAACAACGAUAAAAUUACACCCAUGACCCCAAAUAACAAUAAGUCAUGUUUCUUUUCUGAAUGUGAAUUUCUCAGGUACUCAAGACGUGUGAUUUGGUUACAUGCAGGAACUUCAAACCGCAAACCUGAGUUUGUUGGGAAAUAUUUUCUGGAUGCAACUAUCAAAGAGCAUGGCUGUCCCAACCUUGUUCGAUCUGACCGAGGAACUGAAAACUCUGUGGUGGCUGUUAUUCAGAUUGCUUUCCGUUCACGCGCAACGGACAGUCUGAGCGGUGACAAGAGCUUCAGGUAUGGGAAGUCAGUACACAACCAGCGUGCUGAAGCUUUCAACAGUGUGCUGAAAAGAUCAUGGAUUUUUCACUGGCAAAGCUACUUUGAGUCCAUGCAGGUUACUGAUUUGUUGGACAUAUCUAAUCCUAUACACAUCCACUUGGUCCAAUACUGCUACCUCACACUUGUUGAGAAGCAGCUUCAAACAGAACAGAACGAAUGGAAUGACCACAUGAUCCGGAAGCAAGUUGGAGCAGCUGGGCCUUUUGGAAAACCAAACAUCAUGUAUUUCACACCUACCACUGGAACACCGAAUCUGCUUUGUCCAGUGGACAGAGACCUGACACACUAUGCCGCAACACUGGUGUGUGAAGAUGGAGCAGCACUGCUGGUUGCUAAUGAAGCUUUCCGAACACUCUGCCACAGAGUUCUUGCUCGUUCUGCUCUCCACAUUGACCACAUGUGUGUAGAGCGGUCGAUGGCUGCAUAUGUGUGCCUGAAGAACUUUUUCUUAGAAAAGUUGAUUGAUCUUUCAGUUGAUCAUCCUCAAAAUUUUGAAGAGGCUUGCCUUUUUUAUAUUACCAUUUAGGGUCCUUACAAUGAAUUAAUAUUAAGGACCUAGUAAGGUGUAGGCCAAACCAUUGUCAUCAGAACCUGACCUACUGUGUUUUUGGGUCAUUUACCUGUUUUUUCACAUCUUUUGCCAGCCUUUACCUGCGCAGUAGCCUGCCUCUAUUCUUUGGAUUUAGACCUAUAGCCUGCCAGACUAUUUUGCCUGGCUGCUGUUUUUGUCUUAUUGCCUCAAAUAAAACCCUUUUAUGCUCUACGCAUGCAUCUAUA
ensembl:lncRNA